rnacentral:sRNA from 1 species
UUUGCGCCAGGGAUUGCAGUGGAAAUCGGAGCGAAGCGGAGAUUGAAACGGAAAGCCCGGUCGUUU